CAGUAGCCGCGGGAAUACAGAGGGUGCGAGCGUUAAUCGGAUUUACUGGGCGUAAAGCGUGCGUAGGCGGCUUCUUAAGUCGGAUGUGAAAUCCCUGAGCUUAACUUAGGAAUUGCAUUCGAUACUGGGAAGCUAGAGUAUGGGAGAGGAUGGUAGAAUUCCAGGUGUAGCGGUGAAAUGCGUAGAGAUCUGGAGGAAUACCGAUGGCAAAGGCAGCCAUCUGGCCUAAUACUGACGCUGAGGUACGAAAGCGUGGGGAGCAAACAGGAUUAGAUACCCCCGUAGUCCCUGUCUCUUAUAC
rnacentral:rRNA from 1 species